rnacentral:misc_RNA from 1 species
ACCCCAAUCUGCAGAUAGUUUAUGGAGUUUAUUCAUUGGUACAGAGCAUAAAAUUUAGCAUUUGAGCAAGCCUAUAUUACAAAAACUGUAACAAGAAACAACCUUAGUACAUCUAAAAGAAACAAGUCAUAACUGCCAAAAAAAUAGCAAAGAGCAUGAGAAUGGAAGACUAAUUAUCAAAACUGAUCUGAAGCAAACCAAUUGCUACAUAUCUCUUGAGUCUUUCCUCAAAAACAAAUGUGAAGCACCCAAUAAUGGUGUAGCUGAUUAAACUGUCUCCAUACAGCUUUGCAGAAUGCAGACAAAAUUACUGAGUCUAUAACAAUAGCAAUUUAGAAUAACAGAAACUUUGUGACUGCCUUUAAGGAGUCAAUAUUAAGUAACUAAGUUGUUUGGCCUGUGAGAAAUAGAUCUCAUCACAGGCCUAGGAUCACACCUGAUCCAAACCAUAAAAGGGUCCAGCUUAAGCAAUAAGUCCCCAGACCACAAAGGCUCAGUCAAUUACUCAGGCUGGGAUUUUUUUUAACAGGCCCAGCCUGCCCAUCAAAUGAAAGUGUGUAUUUCAUAUAUUCAUUUCUAUGCGCUGGCUUAGUCAAAAUACUUCGCAUAGAUUUUCAAGCCAAGCUCAGGCAUAAAUCAAAUUUCAACCUGAACCCAGCCCACCAAAUGAUUAGAUCAGCUAAACAUCAAAUGAAUUUAAAGAAGGAACAACCUUGAACUACUGUCAUCACAUAAAUGGUUUUUGUUCAGCUACUGAAACCAUCUCUAUUCUAAAUAUAUGCUAUCCUUUUAAGCUACAAAAAACUAAAUAUAAGCUAAAUAUGUGUUACCCUCUAAUAAUUGCCUUUAACCAAGGUCAAAAAGUGCUCUUCCUUCUAGUAUUAAAACGUAAGAUAAAAUAAAAACAUCAGAGGCCUUUGUGAGAAAAUGUCUGCAAGUCUACUUUUCACAUUAUCCAAAUGAAUGUUUAAAGUACUUCCACUAGACACUUGAAUUUUCUUUAAGAAAUAAAUAGAACACAAUUUUGAUAAAGUGAUGCCCUACCCAGUGCCCCAGCCACUUGGACUUAGCUCAGGUGGUUUGUGGAAGUGGGUGUUUUGUUAGAGAUCCUAAGUUCAAAUCUUCUCUCUCCUCUUGUCACUAGCGGAACCAGGGGGCCAUGGCCCCCAAAAACUUAUUUUAAGUAAAUAAAUAAACCAUAUUAUGGUGCUUACCUUUCCCAGUAUUGUGGCCUCCCCAAAACUUAAAAGUCAUAUAUGUUUUUAUGUAAGAUGCACAAAUUUUUCUUAUUUUAAUUUAUAAUUAAAAAUAUUUAUUAUUUAGUAAACAUGUUUUAUUUUAUUGUUGCUUAUUAAUUUAAAUAUAAAG